rnacentral:lncRNA from 1 species
UCUUCUUAUUUUUGAUUUGAAUCAAAUUUAAAUCAGAAAAGAGAUAAGGAUCAUGACUCACAUGAGUGCCACCCACUCCUUUCUAUGCCCUCCUUUCUCAUGCCAAAAUACCUCACGCAAAACUCCCUUGGCUUGUAAUAAGUGGUGUGGGUCCUAGGGCAUGCGCAAGGGAGAGAAUUCCAGGUGGUUGGGACUCUAGAAUUUUUUAUUUGAUUCCAAUCCAAAUCAGAUUUAUUUUAGACCC